UUAUUGUUUUUAUAAGAUCAUCAAGUUUGAGAUCAGGUAUGAGAAUGUCAAUCUGCCAGUUAAGAGGAAAUAACAUUUCUGUAUUAGGAAAUAACAUUUCUGUAUUAACAUAAUGAAUUUUAUUGGUCGUGUUCAUCAUUGAAUGAAAAUGGUGCUGUUUUUCAUUUUCAUGCUGUUGAUUACAUUAGAGGUUGGAAGCAUCAAAAUCAUAAGACUUUGCACUCAAAUUAUAGAAAAGGAUCAAUGUUUAAACUUGUUUUGCAUAUUUCUUUCAUUAUGAG
rnacentral:lncRNA from 1 species